ACUGUUGCAGAAAUAACCCUCCAUUUGACCACUCUUGAGACUAACGACGUUCUUCGGAAGUAAGUACAUUAGGAUAACAGGGGGACGAGGUUGCGUAACUGCAGGGCGACAAAGACCGGUGGACAACACAUGUUUUAGAUGAACUAAUACAAAUAGGAUAUCAUCAGCCACACACAGAGGUGAACAUGGCUGACAUAUCGGAGAGGACACUGCAGAUUGCAAUUGCAAUUUCCUUUGCCAUGGGGUUUAUUACUGGAUGGCAGGCCAACCGAAUGAGAAGGAAGUUUUUGGACUGGAGAAAGAAAAGACUACAGGACAAGCUAUCUGAGACACAGAAGAAGUUGGACUUGGCGUAACUUCAGUCAGUCAACUGCUUGAUUAAUUGUGUUAAAUGUCACCAGAAACCUCGUUUUAGCUAUGAAGCAAAGCUGUAAAUUGGUUAGCAGCUGACAGCAUUUCCUGAGACAAACUUGAUGAACACUUUCAUCUAUGUGUGCUGCACACUGACCACGGACACUUCCACCCAUUUGAGGAGGAUUGAAUUCUGUCACCAUUUUAUACUUGACUUCACCCAUGUCAGUCCACAUUGCCAUUCAUCUUGUCAAAUAAAACAAAACAAAACAUA